GACGAACGCUGGCGGCGUGCUUAACACAUGCAAGUCGAACGGAAAGGCCCUGCUUGCAGGGUACUCGAGUGGCGAACGGGUGAGUAACACGUGGGUGAUCUGCCCUGCACUUCGGGAUAAGCUUGGGAAACUGGGUCUAAUACCGGAUAGGAGCCAUCUUUAGUGUGGUGGUUGGAAAGUUUUUUCGGUGUAGGAUGAGCUCGCGGCCUAUCAGCUUGUUGGUGGGGUAAUGGCCUACCAAGGCGGCGACGGGUAGCCGGCCUGAGAGGGUGUACGGCCACAUUGGGACUGAGAUACGGACCAGACUCCUACGGGAGGCAGCAGUGGGGAAUAUUGCACAAUGGGCGCAAGCCUGAUGCAGCGACGCCGCGUGGGGGAUGAAGGCCUUCGGGUUGUAAACUCCUUUCGCUAGGGACGAAGCGUUUUUGUGACGGUACCUAGAGAAGAAGCACCGGCUAACUACGUG
rnacentral:rRNA from 1 species